UGGGGAAUAUUGCACAAUGGGCGCAAGCCUGAUGCAGCCAUGCCGCGUGUGUGAAGAAGGCCUUCGGGUUGUAAAGCACUUUCAGCGAGGAGGAAGGGUUCAGUGUUAAUAGCACUGUUCAUUGACGUUACUCGCAGAAGAAGCACCGGCUAACUCCGUGCCAGCAGCCGCGGUAAUACGGAGGGUGCAAGCGUUAAUCGGAAUUACUGGGCGUAAAGCGCACGCAGGCGGUUUGUUAAGUCAGAUGUGAAAUCCCCGCGCUUAACGUGGGAACUGCAUUUGAAACUGGCAAGCUAGAGUCUUGUAGAGGGGGGUAGAAUUCCAGGUGUAGCGGUGAAAUGCGUAGAGAUCUGGAGGAAUACCGGUGGCGAAGGCG
rnacentral:rRNA from 1 species